UGGGGAAUCUUAGACAAUGGGCGCAAGCCUGAUCUAGCCAUGCCGCGUGAGUGAUGAAGGCCUUAGGGUUGUAAAGCUCUUUCAGCUGUGAAGAUAAUGACGGUAGCAGCAGAAGAAGUCCCGGCUAACUCCGUGCCAGCAGCCGCGGUAAUACGGAGGGGACUAGCGUUGUUCGGAAUUACUGGGCGUAAAGCGCACGUAGGCGGAUCAGACAGUCAGAGGUGAAAUCCCGGGGCUCAACCCCGGAACUGCCUUUGAAACUCCUGGUCUUGAGUUCGAGAGAGGUGAGUGGAAUUCCGAGUGUAGAGGUGAAAUUCGUAGAUAUUCGGAGGAACACCAGUGGCGAAGGCGGCUCACUGGCUCGAUACUGACGCUGAGGUGCGAAAGCGUGGGGAGCAAACA
rnacentral:rRNA from 1 species